AGACCCGAAACCCGGUGAUCUAGCCAUGGGCAGGUUGAAGGUUGGGUAACACUAACUGGAGGACCGAACCGACUAAUGUUGAAAAAUUAGCGGAUGACCUGUGGCUGGGGGUGAAAGGCCAAUCAAACCGGGAGAUAGCUGGUUCUCCCCGAAAGCUAUUUAGGUAGCGCCUCGUGAAUUCAUCUCCGGGGGUAGAGCACUGUUUCGGCUAGGGGGCCAUCCCGGCUUACCAACCCGAUGCAAACUGCGAAUACCGGAGAAUGUUAUCACGGGAGACACACGGCGGGUGCUAACGUCCGUCGUGAAGAGGGAAACAACCCAGACCGCCAGCUAAGGUCCCAAAGUCAUGGUUAAGUGGGAAACGAUGUGGGAAGGCCCAGACAGCCAGGAUGUUGGCUUAGAAGCAGCCAUCAUUUAAAGAAAGCGUAAUAGCUCACUGGUCGAGUCGGCCUGCGCGGAAGAUGUAACGGGGCUAAACCAUGCACCGAAGCUGCGGCAGCGAACGUAUCACUUAAAGCGAUUCAGCGGGUUACGAUUGACGGAGCGAAGCGACGUCAAAGCGUAUACAAAGUCGAGUCGGUUUAAGGAUACGUUCGUUGGGUAGGGGAGCGUUCUGUAAGCCUGUGAAGGUGUGUCGUGAGGCAUGCUGGAGGUAUCAGAAGUGCGAAUGCUGACAUAAGUAACGAUAAAGCGGGUGAAAAGCCCGCUCGCCGGAAGACCAAGGGUUCCUGUCCAACGUUAAUCGGGGCAGGGUGAGUCGACCCCUAAGGCGAGGCCGAAAGGCGUAGUCGAUGGGAAACGGGUUAAUAUUCCCGUACUUGGUGUUACUGCGAAGGGGGGACGGAGAAGGCUAUGUUGGCCGGGCGACGGUUGUCCCGGUUUAAGCGUGUAGGCUG
rnacentral:rRNA from 1 species